UACGGGGGGGGCAAGCGUUGUUCGGAAUUACUGGGCGUAAAGGGUUUGUAGGUGGCCCGCUAAGUCACACGUGAAAUCCCUCAGCUUAACUGGGGAACUGCGUCCGAUACUGGCAGGCUUGAAUCCGGGAGAGGGAUGUGGAAUUCCAGGUGUAGCGGUGAAAUGCGUAGAUAUCUGGAGGAACACCGGUGGCGAAGGCGGCAUCCUGGACCGGUAUUGACGCUGAUGCGCGAAAGCCAGGGGAGCAAACGGG
rnacentral:rRNA from 1 species